GUCUUCGUGGUGUAACGGUUAACACACUCGGCUCAUAUUAGAGAGAUUCAAGUUCGAGUCCCGGCGAGGGCA
rnacentral:tRNA from 1 species